CAUCCUAUUUAUACAUAAUGCUCAAGUUAUCUCACUCUAUAGCGAAAAACAAAAACUUUUAGUAUCAUUCCAUGGAGGAUGUGAGACAAAUCUCACAGAAAUGUCAUUAUCAGGUCACUUUGGAAUCAACAAGACAUAUGAUAAACUAGUUGAAAGCCUGAUAUCACCCAAAAAGCUUGCAACACUUUUAAAAUGUACUUUAACAUAAUCAGGUACUUUUGGUGAAGAUACAAUAAUAGCUAUUAAAAGUAUAGUGAGAGAGGAAGGAUAUAUAGGUGUACAAGAUCAGGAUGACCAAAUUAUUGUGGAGCAAUAAUACCAAAAAAAAUUGGUGAACUUUUUCUGCCCACAACAAGGAACUGGAAGGUAUAUCACUCUAAACGGUUCAGUUUCAAAGUAAUUGGACGUUAUCCCAAGAUAAAAUGUGGUAUAUUAAAAAAGAUUUUCACAACCGAUCAUAUUGUGGGUGAUGGGAACUGUUUUUUUAGGUUAGAAUCAAUAUAUGUUUAUAGGUGUAUAAGUCAAGAGAUAUCAAAUAGCCAGGAAAAUUAUAAUUACCUUAGGGAGGAAUGAAUUUUUUUUAUGAGGAGCGAAGAUUUUAAAUUGGAAAUGGGAAAAUUUAUAGGAUAUCCUGUAGAGGAAUACCUAGUUAACAGAAAUGUUAUGGGAAACGGUGUCUGGGCAACAGAGGUAGAAAUAUUAUCUAUGGCCACAUUGUUACAGACAAAUAUAUUAAUCUAUACCCAAUAUAAGUGGGCUUAUUAUUCGCCCAUGAAAUUUUUUAAUAAUAUUAAAAUAUUUAAAGAAAAUAUUUAUUUAUGCAAUGUAAAUAACAAUCAUUUUGUUAGAAUUAUAUCAAUGUGAUUAUCUAUUCUAAUAUUUUUAUUCCAUUAUAUUUAUUGCAAUUUAGUUGAAAGAUGAUAAUCGGCAGAGUUGGGCAGGUCCUCCGGAAAAAGAAUCUAGAUACAGAUACAGAUUCUUUAAAAUGAAUCUUAGAUACAGAUACUAGUAUCUUGUUCAAAAUAUCAAAAAGAUAAAAGAUACUUGUAUCUUUUACUAAAUUAGAGUAUCUUAAAUACUAGAUACUUUUAAAUUAUCAUUACCAAUUAAGUUAGAAUAGUUUAUAAAAUACAAUUUUUAUUAUUUAUAUGUGAAGAACAUAGUAUUACACAUAUAAUAAUGAAUAUUUGCAAUAAUUAAUAAAAUAUUUAUUGAUGAAUUAAUUAUAAUAACCAGGGAUUUUAAUAUUAAUUUUUGUCCAUUAAUAGCUUAAACAGGAAAGGGAGAGUAGUAUAUUUAAUGGGAGUUUGUGCAAAUAAGAAAAAAAAUUAAAUCAAAUGAUUUAUUAGAGUUUGCAGGUUAUUUUUUGUGUUGUUUUAAAUAUAGCUUAUAUUCGGAGUAUAUGGCUAAAUGGAAUCUCUAAAAAAAAUAAUACUAGUUUUAUUUUAUUCAUUAUCUUUAAUAAGUAUUUUUUAUUACUUGUUUGUGAUAUUUAUGUAUUUUUUAAAUUAGUUUUAUUUUCUAGUAUGACUUAUUAAAUCUUGCAUUUGUA